GGGCUGGAGCUCAGGGGUAGAGCGCUUGCCCAGCACGUGUGAGGCGCUGGGUUCGAUUCUCAGCAUCACA
rnacentral:tRNA from 1 species